GCAGGUGUGUUCCAGAGAACAAGUCUUCAAACAUAUUUGCUAUAUUGACACUUAGCUGUCAGGGGACUCAGGCUUAUGAGGAGGUAUUGUUACACGAAACAGUGUCUAGUGAAGACGACAAGAAAGAGGGGAAAGGAUCGGAAAAAGAAGCUGAAAUACUAUAGAAAACCAUGAGAUCGAUUCGAUCUUUUGCUAAUGAUGAUCGCCAUGUUAUGGUGAAACAUUCAACAAUCUAUCCAUCUCCGGAGGAACUUGAAGCUGUUCAGAAUAUGGUAUCUACUGUUGAAUGUGCUCUUAAACAUGUCUCGGAUUGGUUGGAUGAAACAAAUAAAGGCACAAAAACAGAGGGUGAGACAGAAGUGAAGAAAGAUGAGGCCGGAGAAAACUAUUCCAAGGAUCAAGGUGGUCGGACAUUGUGUGGUGUAAUGAGGAUUGGCCUGGUUGCAAAAGGCUUGCUGAUCAAAGAUGAUAUGGACUUGGAGCUGGUUUUAAUGUGCAAAGACAAACCCACAGAGACCCUGUUAAAUACAGUCAAAGAUAAUCUUCCUAUUCAGAUUCAGAAACUCACAGAAGAGAAAUAUCAAGUGGAACAAUGUGUAAAUGAGGCAUCUAUUAUAAUUCGGAAUACAAAAGAGCCCACUCUAACUUUGAAGGUGAUACUUACCUCACCUCUAAUUAGGGACGAAUUGGAGAAGAAGGAUGGAGAAAAUGUUUCGAUGAAAGAUCCUCCGGACUUAUUGGACAGGCAGAAAUGCCUGAACGCCUUGGCGUCUCUUCGACAUGCCAAAUGGUUUCAGGCAAGGGCAAAUGGAUUAAAAUCAUGUGUAAUUGUCCUCCGCAUUCUGCGUGAUUUGUGCAACAGAGUCCCCACAUGGGCACCAUUGAAAGGAUGGCCACUAGAACUUAUAUGUGAAAAGUCUAUAGGUACUUGUAAUAGACCUUUGGGCGCUGGGGAGGCCUUGAGACGAGUAAUGGAGUGUUUGGCAUCUGGAAUACUACUUCCUGGAGGUCCUGGUCUUCAUGAUCCUUGUGAGAGAGACCCAACAGAUGCUCUGAGCUAUAUGACCAUCCAGCAAAAAGAAGAUAUUACCCACAGUGCACAGCAUGCACUCAGACUAUCAGCCUUUGGCCAGAUUUAUAAAGUGCUGGAGAUGGACCCCCUUCCAUCUAGUAAGCCUUUUCAGAAGUAUUCCUGGUCAGUUACUGAUAAAGAAGGUGCUGGGUCUUCAGCUCUAAAGAGGCCAUUUGAAGAUGGAUUAGGAGAUGAUAAAGACCCCAAUAAGAAGAUGAAGCGAAACUUAAGGAAAAUUCUGGAUAGUAAAGCAAUAGACCUUAUGAAUGCACUAAUGAGGCUAAAUCAGAUCAGGCCUGGGCUUCAGUAUAAGCUCUUAUCUCAGUCUGGCCCCGUUCAUGCCCCAGUCUUCACAAUGUCUGUAGAUGUGGAUGGCACAACAUAUGAAGCCUCAGGACCAUCCAAGAAAACAGCAAAACUUCACGUAGCAGUGAAGGUAUUACAGGCAAUGGGAUAUCCAACAGGCUUUGAUGCAGAUAUUGAAUGUAUGAGUUCCGAUGAAAAAUCAGAUAAUGAAAGUAAAAAUGAAACAGUGUCUUCAAACUCAAGCAAUAAUACUGGAAAUUCUACAACUGAAACCUCCAGUACCUUAGAGGUAAGAACUCAGGGCCCUAUUCUUACAGCAAGUGGCAAAAACCCUGUAAUGGAGCUCAAUGAAAAAAGAAGAGGUCUCAAGUAUGAACUCAUCUCAGAAACAGGUGGAAGCCAUGACAAGCGCUUUGUAAUGGAGGUAGAAGUAGAUGGACAGAAAUUCAGAGGCGCAGGUCCAAAUAAGAAAGUGGCCAAGGCGAGUGCAGCUUUAGCUGCCUUGGAGAAGCUGUUUUCUGGACCUAAUGCAGCAAAUAACAAGAAAAAGAAGAUUAUCCCUCAGGCAAAGGGUGUUGUGAAUACAGCUGUGUCUGCAGCAGUCCAAGCUGUUCGGGGCAGAGGAAGAGGAACUCUAACAAGGGGAGCUUUUGUUGGGGCGACAGCUGCUCCUGGCUACAUAGCUCCAGGGUAUGGAACACCAUAUGGUUACAGCACAGCUGCCCCUGCCUAUGGUGGUUUUUUCAUUGACAGCCCCUAUUGCCAGCCUCUGAGCGUCGCACCAUUUAUUAUUCACUUGGGCCCUCAAGAUUUCUUCUCUGACUUCUAGAACCAUCAGGUUGUCUGGCUUGAAAUGGCAAUUUCUAUGUCUUGGUCUUAAGAGUAAUGUGACACCCUGAGGCUAUCCAGCUUUCAGAUACACCACUCUGACACCUUCUUUUUGAAAGCAAUGACUGAUCAUUUUAAAGAAGAGCAAUACUUUGUUCAAAGCCACGGUGUCUCUUUUAAAACUUUUCCUUUAGAAACCUAGCAAUAUCUGUACUUAACCCCUUUUAGCAUAGUUUCUUGUCAGGGAGUUUACAGAUCAAUGUAGAGCUUAGAAUUAGUAUGUGAGCUGUGCUGUGUUCUGACAGUUUUUACACUUUUUAGCACAUAAAUAGUUACAUUCCUGACUGCGUCAGUUAGCGCUAUUAUAAUUUCUCAAGAGAUAGGGGUCCUCCUUGAAGCCAUAUCCUCUGCAUGGGGACUGGCGCCUAGCCAGGGAUGUGGCUUGCAGCCUGUGUUUCUUCAGGCAGCAGGAGUACCCCAUCUCUUGUGCAAGGUAAUUGGUCCAGUAGAUUUCCAACAUACCUCAUGCUGACUAGAUGAAGUGCAUGGGUGGUGAAGCAAGGAGCUGAGUUUACAUAGUUCCUGAAGUGUUUGUAGUCUCUCUCAAAUUGUUAGCCUGGGGAACCAACCACGUUAGAUUUUGCUGGUAUUGGCAUUUUCUUUUCUUUUUUUUAAUUUUGGGUGAAUGUUUGAAAAUCGUGAAUCAGCCACCGUUAUUAAUUGAAGAGCUGGGAAUACCUCGUUAAUGUAUUUUUAAAACUGGUGUUGGACCCUCUGUGUAUUUCAGGUUAAUACUUUUAAGCAGUUUUCAGCACGUUUAUCUCACUUUAUUCUCGUUCUCCUCGGACCUUCGUAGCCAUAUCACUUGUAUAAAAUAGGCUGAGAUAUAGUGACUGUAAGCUGUGAUCUCAGUAUACAAAGAAUCUGUAUGUACGUUGAAUGUGGCUUUGGCAUCUUUAAAAGGUUGUACAAGGCAUAGCUGACUAGUACUGAGUACAAUCCAGUCCUGCUGAAACAGCCCAGUGCCUAUCAGGUGCCAGGUCCUCUUCUGGGUACGAGUGAACAGAGGCUGUGACCAGUGGAAGCAUUUUAAUUCGGAGAGUUUCCUUGUUGUUGGAAUUGGGCCUAUUACAAAUAUCCUACUUUGAGAAACAAAUAUUUUGUUAAUUGUGGCAAAAAAGAAUAUUAGCUUAGUUAUUAGUUUAAUUAUAAACGAUUUAAUAAUGUAGGCCCUCUGACAUCACCAAAAUAGCUGUGACUUGGAAAUUCACUCAUUUAAAAUAUUUCCCUGGCAGUUUUGAGAGCCUGAAACCUACUGUGGUUUAUGUUCAUGGACCUCUGUCCAGUAAGUGAAUGUAAUGAACUGAAUAACAAAUACUCCAGUCCUUUCCAAGUAGUUUUUAUAGUAUAGCAACAGACGGUGGUUAAACACUGAGUACGUUUUUUUUUAAAUGACAAAUGAGGAAAGUGUCUCCCUUGCUUCCCUGUUUCUUAAAGAUUUCAUUAAUAACUGGAGGAAAAUCUUCAGUGGUGACUUAGGAGAAAGAACUAAGGAGAUCCCGCUGCCUGCCCUGCCUCCACCCAGCAAUUAGAUUUCUAGAGCCCUAUACACCAGGGACAUUAACAGCAGUUAAAGCUGAAAACAACCUGCUCUGUGAAUGGUCUUCCCCUAAUUCCCAUUCAACUUAUGCCGGUGCCUCCUGAGAGAGGGUGGGGGCUCUCCCUGAACCAACCAGAAUGAGAAAUGUUCUGUGUUUUCAAACUCAUACUCUCUACAGUCUGACGCCAUGCUGUCUAGUGACCACAGACUUCUCAGUGUUAUUAGGAGUCCUGGAAAGGGGAUGGGUGGUAAAUGAAUAACAACUGCAGAGCCAGAAACUACUGCUGAGGUGGGUUUCAAUAUUGAUGUGUUCCUCUCUAGCCCUUAUUUACAGAGCACUGAGCUAGUAUUUAUAUAAGAAUGAGUCCCUUCCUUUGUUAAUAGCAUCUUCCUGAAAGACUGUUUUAAGUCAAGAAUUCCAGUUAAGUUGGUUGUAAGAAUAGAUAUCCUUUCCCACAUUAUCAUUUUAGGUAGGAGCUAACAGAUUCCAUUGAUGCUUUGAAGCAGCAAUCUUUGGAGGUUUUUAAAAAUAGUACUAUAAUGCAAAUUAGGUUAUGUAAGCUUUACAGCGCAGCUAGAGAUAGAGAAUAGAAACCAUGUGGAAAUCUGGGCCAAAGAAUUUCUCUCUCUCCAGCACAUUCCCAUGGGGCUCAGGAAUUAGAUGAAUUAAUACACAUAAAGUGUUUUGAACAGUACCUGGUGCAUAGUAAGUACUCAGUAAAUGUCGACUGUUCUUACCGUGGUUGGCUGAGGUGAGGAUGAAUGUGAAGAGGGCAAGGCUGUGUGUGCCAACAGCUGUUUGAGAGGCAGGUGCAGUCGGCUCAGGGUGGAGCUGUGUCGGUUCCUUGGUGCUGAUAGGUGUUGGCUGCUGCCAGGCUUUGGGAGAGGACUCCGGGUAUCUAGGAGUUAGACAAAAGACAGCCCCCAAAGACCUGGUGAGAGCUAGUGUGGUGAGGUUGCAGCAGAUCCAAGCUUAAGGAAAUCGCUCAUGUGUCUGUUACAGUCAUUAAAUUACCAGCCGAUCUGCUGCCAAGGGUUUGUAAAUACUUGUUUUUUUGUGGGGGAUUAAAGGGUGCAAGGGCUGAUCAUAGAAUAUUCACCUGCUGAGUCCAAGUGUCCACCCAGUGCAGUAAAUUUAAAGAAAGGUGUUUCGUUACAGCUGUCUCCGGAAUCUAACCUUGGGGACUUACCGGUGUUUAGUAGUUAGAAAGCAAGUUCCUAUAAAGCACAGAAAGGAAGGGAGGAAACUGAUUGGUGUGCUUAAAAGGCUGUGGACCAGGAUGCUUCUCUGAAAAGCACUCCUACAGCUUGUCCCUUCCAGUUUGCUUUGAUACUUUUGGGGGAAAAAAAUCUACGUUCGUCACCAUACAAGGCCUCCCUUCUGCCUGUUAAUCUCAGAGAAAACAUGUCUGCCCAUCUAUUCAUCUUUGUCUUUGUCUGUCCAUUUACUUAUCCAUCUAUCUGGACACAGUUGGGAAGCUGCUUUUCGAUAAGAGGAAAAUUGGUACAUGAUGAAACUGAUGCUGUUGCAUUAAAUAGAGUGUACAUCUUCCAUUCCUUGUGUGUCUACAAAGAUCAGGAGCCUCUGCAGGUGGGCAGAUGCAUCCUUGGCUGUUGGUAAGAGGUGAGCUAAGUGGCAAACAUAGAUUGAGCCCUCAGAUGCUCUAAGUUUAUCAAAACUGUGCGUAGUCAAGGACUGUGUUACCUUUAAGGAGGCAAAGAAGAUUUGCAUUGUAGUCAAGACGUUUUUCUUAAAUCUAAGAAAUAUUUGUAUAGCUAAUGCCCUGGCAAAAGUUAGUGCGUUCCUCCCAGAGGAGGCUGUUAGGUGGAAUCUUUGCCUCAUUCAGCGAGCAUUGAGGGAGGACUUCUUUUUUUUUUGCUUUGAUGGAUCAGUUGUUAACAUUCGAAUUACUCAUUCUGAGGAGCGUCUUGGUCUGUCUUGGCAGAACUUUGUCGUUUCUUCAAAUGAACUGUGCCAUCCUGCUGGUGGGCAGGGUGAAGAUAGCUGCCAUUUGCCCAGGCAGUUUCAGCCCUGGACAAAAGGUCUCUCCAUUCAAGUGUCAGCUAAAUGCACCAAGUAAUGAGGUGAAUAGUAGCCUUCAGUUUAGGUCAUUUGGGGCAGCAGUAGAUUGAAGCAGCAGGAAGGGCAGGGGAAGGAGAGAGAGCAGCGUUUGUGUCUUGUUUGCCAGGCACUUGGGCAUCCUCUGAAUUCUCCAACUACUUUCUUGGAAGUAGUAGUAACCCUAUUUUACCAAAGAAACUGAUGCUCCAAGUUAAGUGCUAGAAACGUUAAUGGAACUUAGCUCUGUUCUAAAGCCUUUUUCUGUUCCAUCAUGCUAUGGAUUAAAAGGCUGGGGCUGACAGGAUGGGCUCUGCUGGAAGCCAAGCCCUCUGACUUGAGAUGACUCCAAAACAGAUAACCUGGCCUAAAAAGGAUAUUUUCAUUUAAACCGAUUGUGAAGAAGUAUUUAACAUACUGGAAAGACAGACUGAACAACUGCAUUGCAUCUGUAUAAACAGAGGAAGCAUUUUUAUUUAAAGUUUAUUUUUCUCUGAAUUUCAGUGAAAUCCUGAGGUUAUGUUUUUUCACUUAGCUUAUCUUUUCUGAGUGCUUGUCUGUGCCUGGCCUGAGAUAGGUUAUGAGGAUGUCUUCAACGAUUUAAGCCAGACUCUGAAGGCAGGCAGGUGAGGCUUUGGCUCACUGGGUACAAGGAAGAGGAGCAUAGAGGGGCAGCAGCCCAGGCUUGGGAUUUAAGUGCAAGAAGGUGUCCCUGGCCAAGUACUCAGCAGAGACAGGGCAGUGGCAGACUGCAGAGGUCGGCUGUCAUGGCCACGAGUUCCCCUUGGAGUAGGCCUCAGGGCAGGCUGCCAGCCUGAAGUUCAUUGUCUUCCUUCUAAGUUGGACCCGUGUACGGUAAGCCCUGCUUGGAUGGCUUUGGGGUCUGUAAUUGCUGCCUGUGAACCACUCUGCUGAACUUGUCUGAAAAUUCUGCUGCUGUAAACCACUUUACCAGCUCCUUGGCUAAUGAAUGACAGCUGGGUCUCUGCUUAGGUGUGGGUGGGGGUGUGGGGGGGUGGUGUGGGGAUGGCUGCAGGAUCCUUUUAGGGAAAGGUAUUCCUCACCCACCAUAGGUCAUUAUCUUUCUUGGCAGUUGGCAUUGUUUGUGCACCCUGCUGUAAUCCUGGAAGGGAGUGGGAGAAAGGAACCUUUGAAAACUGAGGUUGUCGUGUUCUAGAGCAUGACUGUGUCGGGGAGAAUGAGCGCCUGGCAUUCGUAGAACACAGUACUCUCUCAGGUCCUUUCCCACUUGUCAUUUCAUGCCUUGCUCUACUGGUGGGUCUUGGAGAAGCAGCGGUGCACAGACUGUUUUUCCCACUCUGCAGACAGGGAGACUGGAGCCCAGAGAUCUCUCCAAACCACCCUGCUGGUUUGUGGCAAAACAUUGUGGCUCCUAAUUAGUUUUUAACCACAAGAAGAAAUAACAUUUCUUAGACUGUUUUUAAGAGUUAACAGUAGCCCUUUCUGAGGAAUUAGUUUUGAGUUUCACCACAACUGUAGAAUUAGAAAUUUUCUCCUUUUACAGAUUAGGAAAUAGAUGCUUAAAGUGACUUGCCCCAAAUUAUAGCACUGUAAGUGGCAGCGCUCACGCAGGCUGAGGCUGUGCUCUGUGCAGGUGGUUUGUGUCGCUAGUGCCGGCCAAUGUCUGCUCUCUUUUCCAAGCCCAGGUGGCAGCAGUGGCUUCUCCUCUCUGUCACGUGUUCUACCCACCUUUCCUCCAGGAUUCUGGGCUAUUCCCUGUGUGCCUUGAAACCAAACAAGCAAAAACCAGCUCACAUCUCCCUGAUCCUUCCCCAGCCCUCCAAAACUCAGACUUUCUGGGCUCAUUCUUUUUCUGGUUCCUUUGUUAUGUGCUCCUGGGUAAGGUGACCAACUGGUUAGUUCUAGGACACGCAGCCUGUUUUUUUGUUUUGUUUUGUAUUUUUUUGCCAGCUAAACAGUUGUGGUCAGUCUCCACAGAUGAUCAUUUUAUACUGAAAUUGAACCCUAUAAUAAAGUGCAAAUUCAGUGAUCACCAUUUGGAGAGCUCCUCAGGGGUGGGAAGGAGGAUGGGGGAUGUGCUGCUGGAGUGUGUGUUUUAUGUUCAGCCUCAUCCACGUUUUGGUUUUGGCCAUCCUCCGUUCCUGGCUAGGCCUUCAAACAUGUGCUCUAACCCACGGGAUCACCGUCACAGUAGCACGUUUUCCAGAGCAAUCUGGUGUUGGGAUCUCCUAGGAUGCUUCUGUCAUGUAGGUGGUCUUGGAAGCUACUCAGCUUUCUAAAAUCCUUCAUUCCUGCAGAGGCUAUGUUAAAUGAAUAUGGUAGGCAUCAUCUGGGAGGUAAAAAACCUGUGGAAAUGGGCACCUGGGGAACUCAGGAAAGCUGAAAGCACCUUGAAAUGAGAUGGACCAGAAGGUUGAGGCUGGUGAAGAGGAGACCUGGAGAGAACACGGGCACUCCUGUCAGGUAUUUUUAAGAGAUUAUAUUUGUUGUAUGUGGUUCCAAAGAGUAAAAGACAAUUAUGGGACGACAGUUGGGCAAUCUGAGCUAAAAUACACCUCCUGCAAUGACAGAGCAAGUGGCCGUGGGAGAGCAGCUGAGGUGUGAUGGGAGCUCCCUGUUAUGGGCAUGUUCAAGCACGAAGCCAGCUGUGUGGAUGGCGAAGGGGAAUUUCUUCUGUGGAAUGUCAGUUUGGAUGAACUCUGAUGUGGUUGGUGGCACUGCCAAGACCAUGUCUCCCUUCUUGGGCACAUAGAUUUAUUGAGAAAACAUUCACUGUCACCUACUGCUUUCUACCAGGCUCUGUGUUGGGGGAGAAGGAGCAGUUGGAGAAAAUGUCAAAAUUUGCAGCUUAGACGACUGAGUAGAAAGUGAAAUCAUUGACCCAGAUGGAGAGUACAGGGAGGGGGAGAAAGAUGCUCAGGGGAUUUGGACAGAAUGAGAGUCCUCCUCUGUGCAGGGAGAAAGGCUUCAGCGGGUCUCCUCCUCCCUGCUAGGGAUGCUCCUUACUGGCUCUAGGCUAGGGGCUGGCAGGCCCAUUCCCAGGUCUCCCACUGAGUGCAGGAGAGGAGCCAGGCCUCAGAACAGAAGUGCUUAUUGAGUAACUUACCAAGAAUUACAGGCUUCCCAUUGAGACAGACGGGGGUGCCCAGGAGGGGAGUCAGGAGAGGCCUGGCGUGCACAGAGAGAGUGUGCCCACUUGGAGAGCAUGAAGGGCCUUGCUGUGGAAACUGAAAUGGUUAGCAGAGUGAAGUGGCAGGUGGGACACAACAAUCUGCAGCCAUUUCUUGGAAGGCCCUGGGUGCUAUGUCCUUGAGUGAUUACCGUCGUCCAUGACGGUGAGAGUUCGGAGGGCCGAUUGGGACAGUUGGAGAGCUAAGGACCAGAGUCAGGAGCACUGAUGAGGAAGAUGCUGUUGCCAUCAGCCAGGUGAGGCUUGAGGGAGGCUGAUGGAUUGUGGCAGCAGAGGGAUGGUGAGGCAGGAAUGGCGUCUCCUCACAGGCCGGGUUCCUCGGCCAGACUGGGUAGGGACAGGAAGAUGGUGGCCCCCAACCCUGGGCCAAGGAACAACAGCGCCCAUCCGGGGGAGGGGGACCUGCUGGAGUACUUCUCCUGGACCACUGCUCAGUGGGCAAUGGAGAGAACAAUUGGGUCUCUGACCAGGAUGGGGAAGCACAGGGGAAUAGAGAAGAUACUGGCAGGGCACAGAGGAGGUGGAACGGAGCGAGGGCCAUCUCCACCUGGCUAGGAAACGGGGGCUUUGUAGGCCACACUCCAUUGUGCUGGAGAGCUCGAGCGUCUCCGUUGUCAGUGGGUGGGGAGGGACUUGUAACCUGUCAGCAUCUUCAUCCUUUCCCUGAAUUUCCACCGGGCUGGGCUCUCCAGCCAGGAGUCACAGGUACCGGGUGGUCGUUCAUGCUGAGGCCUUCUGCUUGGCAAAAAGUUAAUCCAUUUUUAACCUAAGCAAGGGUUGGAGCUUGUUGGAUUCAGCAUCUGUGGAACACAGUCUUCAGCCUGUGUGAAGGUGGCGGACAUUCCUUCCAAAGUUCUUUAAGGGAGGGAAAAGGCCAUGAAAUUGUGAGAUGAUUGGAGGAUUUGUUUUGUGUCUGUCCCAGUGUUGCCACCUUUGCUUCGAAAUGAACGGGGAGAACUGAAGGCCAGUGUGGGUUUCUGCACCUCUUUUCUACAGUGCUGCUGGGGACUGUGGCUCAGGUGGCAGCUGUGGACACGGAUCCAGUCAGCCUUUGGGUGGCCAGAACUCCAGGGCCAGGUGUCUCUUAGCUGCAAGCAGCCUUGACUGUUACUCAACAGGCCACACAAAUCUCACCUCUAAAGAGGUGAAAGGUAAAAAUAUAUGGGAAUUUAAAUAUAAAGGACUUGUGUCUGCAAGUCCUUUCUGUAAAGGGCCAGAUAGUAAGCAUUUCAGGCUUUAUGGAGCAUGUGGUCUCUGCUGCAACUGCUUAGCUCUGCCAUUGUAGCACAAAAGCAGUCAGAGGCAGUGUGUGAAUAGAUAGCAUGGCUGCGUUCUGAUAGAGCUUCACUUCCACAUACACAGGGCCGCAGCUUGCCAACCCCUGCAAAGUAAGCGGCAUUUUGCCGAAGCUGGCUGUAUUUCGCCAACCCCUUAGAGAUGACUUGCCUUUUGGCUUAAUCAUGAUCCACCUCCCCACAGAGGCUUCCUGAGCAUCUCUUCUGUGUGAGCACUGGCUCAAUGCACAGGACGAUGUAGUUCCUGCCCAUAUGAAACUUGGGAUUUGAGUGACACGUGGGACACUGAAAGAGGAGAGCAGGUGGCUAAAGAGCAUAAUACAGAACAGGGCUCAGGGAAGUCCAAGGUGACAGGGUCUUCAAGAGAAGGGCUGAGGUGAGUCAGGAAAGCCCUGAAGGCAGGCAGCUCUGGAGCAGGGUCUUAGAAGAAGAGUAGGCUGCAUUCUCCAGGAAGGGAAACAGGACCAGGCAAUGGGUGAGAUUGUGUCCGACAAUGAGAACUUCUGCAUAGUCACACAGGCACAUGGGGUCCGCUCGUAAAGGGCCAGGAGGGUGGACUGGAUUCUCUGGGCAGUAAGGAGCCAUCAGACAGUUGUGCUCAGGAGGGUAAUGUGAUCACAAAUGCUGAUUAGAAAUGUCACUGGCUAUGGAGGACCAUGUCUGUGGUUAUAAAUUAUACUUUCAGUUUAGUCUGGACUUUUUGGUCAAGGUACUUUUGGUACUGGAAUGAGAAAGAGAGACCCAGAGUUGGGCAGAUUUUCUGACCACUGGCUUAUAUUGGGGCAGUGAGCGCCCCAUCUUUAUUUUGACCUGACAGAGCUUGACAGAAUCUUCCUUCUUCAGGCUUUUUCUCUCCUGCUAUCCUAAAGAUCACUUGCAAGGGCAGGAUAAAUGAAACAUUCUGUCUCCAAAGUUUGGCUUGGGGCCUCCUCAGCAAUAUGAAGGUAAAGGGGCGAGGACAGGCUGCCCCUUGCUUCCAAAUCAAGUCACGUGGUGGGAACGCUUUAUGGAACUGAUUGCUUCCUUUGUACAUGCCCUUGGGCCCUUCGCCAGCAGGCCUCAGAGAAGCAGAGAUGCUGGCCUCUCCUCUCCAGAGGCUGCCAGCUACUAAGGGAGGGUGAAACGACUACUGCUGGGGGUAGACUGCUCUGGGCUGGGCCUGACGUCAGGUGUAGGGAGACAGGUGAAUCAGACAUGGUGGCUGCACUGAGGAAUGCUCAGUGUUUAUAGCGCUGUCUGCUCUCCAGUCUUUCCUCUCAGAGGGGUUUCCAGGCACGUCGAAGGGAGCUUCCAUUCAUUCAGAGCGUUGGAGAGGUGUCAGGGAUGUGAGCUGCUGCCAGUUUGACGCGAACAAAAGCUGGGAGUGGCUACUGUUGCUGUGCGGUGGCAGCAGCACUGUGUGCGCGCGCGGUGAAGGGGCGGGUAGGGCUGGAGAAGCAGGGCCCAAUACAAGUGCCUCUGCAGCAGCCCCAUGGGGUAGGUGAUCAGUGCAGCUCAGAGAAGGGAAGGUCCUUGUCCCACCUGCCUGAGCUGGUAGGUGGUGGCCCGCUUCACACAGCUGUCCCAUGAUGCUGACGAGGCGGGAGCAGGCCUGGGCCGGCAUCUCUGCACUGUGACCCCCCUUUCACAGGCCCAACCGUGUUUGUGGACCUCUGGGACUGAGUCAGGAGGUGAGGACCGCAGUGCUGCCCUAGCACAGUCGGGCCAGGUGUGGGGAAAGGCAGGAGGGAGGUGUGCUGUGCUGGAAGGCCCUGGAGAGGCAGGAAGCCACUGAAAACUUAAGGAACUGGGUGCUACUUACUCUCAAUGAAGUUGUGUUCUGUUUGUCUCUGAGAAUCAGGUGAGGGAUACAGGAGGAGGAGUUGCCCCAGGUGGCUGCUGUCUUUAAACUUGUCAGGCUCCCUCUCGUAUGGAAGUGCCUCUCGGGAUUUUGCUGCCUGAUUCUCUCUUAUGGGCAUAGAGUGCUCUCAGGCUCUGAUGGUAGGUGUGGAAUUUCUCAGGUCUAAGGAGCACCCCUUGUAUUUUCUAGAGGAGUUUCUGGGUUUUUGGAAGGGAAAGUGACUAACUGGAGCCUGGCACAGAUGGACAUCGGGUAAAGAGAAUGCAGCUAUCCCUGGCUGCGGUGCCAGGCGUGGCCUUUCAUGUGGCAGCCAGUCAUGGGCAGUGGCUGCAGCCUCAUAGGAAGGCUCUUGUCAGUCAGGCAGUGGAGUUAGUUACAGAUAAGAGCCUUGCCAGAGCCAGCCCUGCCCCCACCUAUGGGCACAGGCGCUUUGCCGUCUGUGCUUAGGGAAACAUGAUGGUCCGAAAGUUUUCUUGACUCUAACGUAAAUAUUUCUGCUGUUUUUGCAAGUCAGAUUAUUUUAAUUGUUCAUGGAUAUGGAUCAAGAAUAGGAGUUUAAGAUAGCUAGGGAGGUAGUAAGAAGUUCCUUUUCCACCCAUAAUUUACAAGUUGUGUUUUAGGUUUCCAGUCUGUUUCCUCUGUUCUGGGUAGCUCCUGCUCUCCACCCUUUAGGAAUUUUGGUGUGGUGGGUCAGUGGCAAGACACCCAAUCCAGACAUGUGCAUUUCCAAGGCACAAUGAUGUCACUUACCAAGCCUUCUGGUGUGCAAACACCACUUCACUGGCUCCCUCAGGCUGCACCCCUGACCCCCAAGGUAGUGAUGGCAGCCAGUGCAUGAGGUAUAAUUUGGAAGUAACCAGGCAAGGCCUGGUUGCAAAAAUACCUCUUCUCUCCCGACAGUAGGCCAGAGGUGCUGCCGUUAGACGCACCCCUCUCCCUAUCCCAAUCACUUUUCAUGCUCAGGCCAGCUUUGCAGUCAGGUUCCGUUCACUCUGCACCCCCAUUUCUUAGAUGGGGUACUGAGCACUGCUUUUCCCUUAGCUCACUUAAUAUGGCAGCUUCUCAGGGAUGGGACUUACCACGGCUGUGGGAGAUGCUUUGCUACUAUUUAGUACCUUUUCUGGGGAGGAGGGCUCAUUUUUAGAAACUCCACCGGGGAGCCAAAUUGUAGGCAUCCGACCAGAGGACCUUGCUCUCUCCUCCCAGGAAUCAAAAGUAGCUCUGGCUCUCUGGGAAGCUGUCUCCAGCCUCCAGGUGGACACCCUUUCCAGCAUACCAGGGCUUAUGGAGGCAAAAUGAAAGCUGGUCCACAUGGGAACUCCCUGCUCUUGUCCUUUCCUUGGGCAGACAGUGUAUACUUUAGUCCUUAGCAGUGUUUAUCCUUUUUCCACAAAGCAUCUUUGGACUCAGGCCUUUCACCCUGGACCAUCUGUCUGGCCUGUUGUGCUGAACCUUUGGUCUCUCUCAGUGGCUGGUUGGUCCCAGCCACUUCUUCAAAAGGUUUCCUGAGGUAACCAUAAAUUAGGGCAGUCGUACUUGCAGAACAGUGAGGCUGAUGGGCCUGUUCCCAAGGGUGCUUUGGCAGGGGGUGCUGGGAAGGGGCUGGCCUAGGGUCAGGUUCAUCAUACCAUUAGCCCUACAGCCCCAUGCCUUUGUGUCCUGGCUUACCUGCCUUGUAGUGGUCCUACAGGAGUGGAGCCUGUAGGACUUGCUUCUUGGACGCUCCAAGGAGAGCUCUGUCUGGGAAGGAGGUGGGAGGUGCAGCCAGUCUGGACCUGAAGCCCUCACGCUGUGGAGUAAGGUAGCCCUGCUCAGCCCAGUCCUUCCUUAGCCCCAAGGGUUGGGGGAGGCAGGAGAAGGCUGAGCAGAGUCAUGGAUAGAAAACCUUUCCCUACUGCACGGUUACACACAUGACAUUGGACUCCUGGCUGUAGCUCACUCUGGUCUAGUGAAGACCAAGUUAGUUUUUAGAAAUCUAAAAUAUCUAUCAUGUAUCUAUUUACUGUGUUUUUCUGAAUACUCUAGUGUAAAUAGUAUAAUUUGCAGUGCAAAAGUCCUUGGCAAUAACUUUGUGUAUCAUGUUUAAAAACACUGGAAACCGUGACUACCAUGGACUGUUCUUCCCCUCUGAGGCAAUUAUUACAUGUAGGACUCUGAACUUUAAACCUUCAGCGUGACUGAAGCAGCAGCCUGCACAUGUGGAUGGUCAUCAGUGCCUCGCCCAGAAAUGCCUGGCCUUCAUCCAAAGGGACCCUGCUGCCACGAGUCCUCCAGGCAGCACCCACACUGUGGCUCCUUCGCACUGAGUAUGUUGGACUCUGCCAUAGACUGACCCUCUUGUCUGGCUGCUGCAGUUUGUGUGUAAUGCCCUGACAUGUUGCAUUUUCCCCAUUUGGAUAAAUAAAAACAAAUGCUUCUGUCACACACAGUAAUGGACUGUUCUCUAUAGGACACACUCUGGUAAAAUGAAGGAUCCAGCUUUGGUGAAAGGCUCAAGUGCAGGCUCCCUUUUCCUGGCCCUUAAGGCUCUAGUUCAGUGCAAAGGGAUGAAGGGCUGAGGAUGCCUGAAGUGGGGGUGGAUGGCUCCUGAUAGUGGACAGUGAUUUGGGUGGGGGCAGGGCCUAAUUCUUGAUCCUGUUGUGGUCCUUAAAAUCCUGCUUCUCUGUGGUGUGAAAAGUUUCCUCAAUAUGAAACAUGAACCUGGCAACCUGGCACAGUGAGUGGUAAGUUAUGUCCUAUUGAGUGACUGCUCUCCUUGCUCUUCAUCGUCACACCUAUUCCGGGGGUGGCAGCACCCAGACAAUACAGAUCCAGGAACAGAGCCUCAGGGUUAAGGGGCCCUGCCCAAGGGUGUUGAACUUCUAGAGGGCGGCAGCCAUUGGAAGCCAAAGAUGAGGCUCUUCCUCCUGCUGCCUGGUCCCCUGCAGUUAAGCUUCCCUAGGAACUGAGAGCUCAAGACCAGUGUACUGCCAGCCCACUUGGAGAGAUGAGGACAAAGGUCUGGCAGCCCAGGGAAGUGGUCCGGCAGGGUAUCAGGCCAGAGGCUGCUGCUGCUGCCGUCUCCAGGUAAGUGGAGAGCUGUGUGGGCAAUGGCGCUGUUUUUGCCUCACUUUACAACACAGGGCUCCGCCUUCUCCCUGUGUAUCAUCAGGCCGAAUCUACAACCAAGAAUUGACUGAAGAGCUGGCUGGGCCAGCCCUCUGCUGUUCCCAACCUCAUUCCCAGGCUUGCCUUUCUGAGCUUGAGGGACAGCCAGGCUUUCUUGUUUACAAUUGCCGCAGGGCUCAGCUGCACAGGAGACAGACAGGUUGUUGAGGUGGAACUGGGGAGAGCAAGGGAGGGAACACUGCUUUUCUUGCCCUUGGGCCCUGGAGGAGAAGGUGAAGGUAUGUGGUAGGAAAAACGAACUCCUCGACAGUGUGGUCAGGUCAGGCCUUUCACUUUCAAAUCUGGGAAUAACAUCACUUAACUCGGGGGUGUUCUGACAAUUGGAGGGAGAAGAACACAGGAGAAGAGUGGAGAGCUCAACAGCCUUGGUGAGCCAGGCACUGGACCCACUGCACAGAUCAGGAGAACUCAGGAAGGUUAAGUGAGAUAGAUGCGCGCCCAAGCGCAUGGCCUGGCCUGGCCUUGCACCCUGAAUGUGUGUGUGUUGCUUGCAGUACAGUGCUGUGACAGUUCAAACCCACCUGCUGCUUCCCAUGCUCAUCUUUAAGCAGCCACCCUGCUGGCUACUGACAGAAGUACCAGUCAGCAUCCCAGCCGUCUCUCCGAGCCCAUGUAUCUUCACCUACCAAAUCUUUUAUCAAAUGGGGAGGGCAGAGAACUCAGCACGCAUGUCUGUUGUUCUGGGAGUAGCUCAGUGCCCCUUCUGGGCGGCUCCAGUCCUCAUGUCUGUCUGCUCCAGCUCUGUUUUUUCAUCACCCCCCAAAUGAAUCUUAGAUGUGCAUUUAAAUCCCAGUGUCAGAGGAGUCUGGCACGUCUCUGACCAGUGAAGUGGCUCUCCCAGGCCACAAGGGGCCCAAGUCACCCACUGCACUUCCCUUGUGCAGGCUAUGGUUUUCACAACAACUGUUGAGUCAGCUCAGACCUGGGAGUUGUGUUCUGGGCUUAUUCAGGGAGCCUGUGGCUCUUCUUCACUCCUCUUACUACUCAGCCCCUGCCCCUGGGACUUUCUUCAGAAGAGGUGCAGAGACUUUGGGGCUGACAGCUCUUGCCAUUUGGUCUGAGCCACCGCCUCCCCACUGAGAAUUACCAAGGCCCUGGAAAUCAGCUUGGGUUGCAGCCAAGGCCUCCCAAAGAAGGUCCACCCAGCCUGCGGUGCACGCUCGCAGACCUUGUGAGCAGCCCUGAGGGCACCGUCAGGGAAAACAGGUGCCCAAGGUUGGAACCACAGUCCCAGUGGCCCAGCACAACUGCUCUUCCUGCCACAGUCCCCUCCGACCACUGGCCUUGCUUGCCCACUUCCCUCACAGCCAGGCUUCUUAAAAUCUCUCUACUUGCUUGUCCCUGCCUCUUGCCCUUCCGUACUCUAUUAUAGUGGUCACUGUCCUAACAACCUUCCAGCUUCCAAAUCCAAUGAAGCUUUUCCAGUCCUGCCCUCAUCCCCACCCUGAGGGGGAGCUAUUGCUCCUCUCUAGCUGUUUGUGCUCCUCCAUUCUCCAUGUCUUCUCUACUGCUCCUUGAAUGGCGGCUCCUAGUCCUCCAUCUAGCCCUUGCUUAAUCUUUGCAUUAUCUAGCUUCGGCUUGCUUGAGCAAUGGUUCUCAACCAAGGAUGAUUUUGCCCCCUCAAGGGGCAAGAAAUAACUAAAGACAUUUUUGGUUGUGCCAGCUGGAGUGGGUUAUGUGCACUAGCACCCAGUGGGUAAAGGCCAGGGAUGCUGCUGGCAUCACACAGGACAGACCCCCCCCAGCACAGAAGUUAUCAACCAGCCAAACCAUCAACAAUGUUGAGUUCCACACACCCUGCGCUAGAGAUGCCAAACCAACAAGUGAGCAGCUGUAGAUUGCCAGUGUCUCCAACCUGCAAGUCCCAGGCUAUUUCAAAUCUAUACACGGACAGCUAAAUUUAUCCUCCUGGUGUGUGUCCUCACUCACCAAAUUUCACUGACGGUGUUCUCCAUUCCUUAUUCUACCAUCUGUCAAUCACCUCUGCUCAUACCCUAAUUUCUUCUCCUCCUGAUUUUUCUUCCUAAACGAUCAGCAGGCAACUGCUCAAAGUGCAAGUUGGUUUAACCCAUUUAUGCCUAGUGUUCCAUUAUUGCAACACUAAGCUUGAGGGAGUUAUUUAUAUCCUACUGCUCAAAGUCAUCCCCAAAGUCUGAUUCUUCACACACAAAAAAUUUGCAACCUCUGGCAUAAAUGGGUUUUAAAACUCUCCAGUGACAACUAACUCCCUGGCAUGGCCCCAACCUAAUUACCCAGUUUCAUGUCAUCACUCCGCCUCAAGCAGACUUAACUACUGUCCUUCCCACCUCAAUGCUGUCCUCUUUCUUCUCUUCUACCUAGCAAGUCCUUUAGUUGUCAGUCACAACUGUCACUGCCACUUUGUCCUCCUGCAGUUACACAUACCUUCCCACAGGAUCCCAUACACCUGUACACGACUUACCAUACGGUGUCACUAUUAUUCUAAUUUCAGCCUCAACAUAACUAGGGGACCUCCCCCAAAGCAGGAGCCUCAUCUGAGUCGCUUUAGGCCUGUGUGCCAAGACUAUUAUAUACAUGUGGACUCCUUUUCUUGGGCCAGUACGCAGCUCCAGGGAUGAGGAUUUCUGCUGAGUCCCUACACUACUGAACAUGAAACCAAUGGGACAGGAAAAGCAUGGAGCAGGCAGAUCCGGAAUGUGGAUCCCAGAAAUAAUGUCCUCCAGCCUGCAGCCUAUGAGCAUCAAAGGGACCCCAGCUGGGCUCUGGAGCCACAGUCCUAGUUUCUGCAAGAGUACACGCCAGGGGCUGAGCCCUAUGCUAGGCACUUUCCUAGUUUAAUUGCAGUGGAGAAAAGACAGGGCAGGGGCCCACCUGCUUGUCACAUGGAUAUACACGUGCUGUGGUGGUGGCUUGCUGCAUCCAUCACUCCGCCAUCUACAUUAGGUAUUUAAUCUAUAUCCUAUCCUCUAUCUUCUAUCUAUUUUCUAAUCUAUCAAUCAGCUAUCAAUCAUCUAUCUUCCCUUCUUCUGGCAGGCAUGAAGCUAUAGUCUGCUCAGGCUGCAUCCAUUUAAAGGAUAGGCAUAGGUGGGGUCAUGGACGGCAGGUCAAACGGGAAUGGGGAAUCGUAAGAUUAGGAAAGCAUCGUUCUGCUUUUUGCUAUAGAGAAGGGGGUUGAGGUGGUGAAGAGGGGCAGCAUAAGGCCUGGAGCCUCAUCUGUAUGGUGCAGGGAUGUGGAAGGCCAAGCAAUGAAAAGAAAGAGGCUCUGAAAAGAUAACUCCCAUGUUUUUUCCUAAAGCUUUUAGCAGACCCCAUCUGACCCUCAGGGUGCUCAGCCUGCCUUUCUAUAGCUUUCCCCUGCACAUGUACCUUUUGGCCUGGAAUUUCCUCUUCCAUCUCUGCCUGCUGAGAUGCUUUUGCCUUUGAACGUCUAAUUUGACCCUUACCUCCUGUAAUGCUUCCUUAAACCUCAAAAACACAAAGUAUCUCUCAUCCUUGCUACUACAGCACAAGUUAUUUCUCAGAAAGGAGCAAUGUUCAUCAUGAACAUAGAGGCAUCAAAGUCAUCUUCUCACCCCAUGCGGCUUGUCACACCCUACCAGUCCACACGUCUGAACAGGAGGCUGAGGAGGCCGCCUCACGCUCACACAUACAUACCUCUUUGACAGCACAGAUGGUGGUCUUCUCUGACUCUGCUUCUGUGUGCAGGGGGUGGGGGGAAGAAGAGGAGGCGGCAGGAGCACAUGAGGAUAAAACUGGUUUUUACAAAGCAAUGCUGUUUGUACCAAAAUAUUUAAUGAAUAUACUGUUAAAAUAAAACCAACAAAAGAAAUAGUAAUACAAUUUUACUGGUUUAUAUUUGAAUUCAUAAAGUUGACACACUUAAACUACCCUAGCACAAUGUCCACACACCUAGCAUUAGAUGGGCUUACAGCUAUUUUGGUAACUGAACAAGAAAGACACAGAAAGCAGCAAAGGGGAUGGUUGGUGGGGAGGGUGUUGCCACUUGUUACCUCCCUUAUCACAGAUAACCUCAGCAAGCGUUAGUACAGCCAGUAAGAAAAAGCUACAAAACAACCCGAGUGUCUUUAUAUACAAAACCAGUGCCUCUUGUAAGCAGCCACCUCAACACUGAACGCAGAGAAGAGGACAAAAUCAUCUGCGGUCAGCCUGUCAG